CUCUUGAGAGCCAUAUAGAGGG
rnacentral:miRNA from 1 species